rnacentral:misc_RNA from 1 species
UCGAAUGAAACUAGAGUUGGUUGUCGCUGGCCCCUUCACCGGGGCAUGUGCACGCCUCCUCUAUUCAUCCACACACACCUGUGAACUUGUGAGACGGAUAGUAGCCCUUUCGGGGGCGAGGUCCGUCUGCUAUACAUAAACUCCAAUAUAUAUAAAUUUGAAUGUAAUUUGAUGUAACGCAUCUUUAAAC